rnacentral:rRNA from 1 species
GAGGAAAGCUGGCGGCGUGCCUAAUACAUGCAAGUCGAGCGAACGGACGAGAAGCUUGCUUCUCUGAUGUUAGCGGCGGACGGGUGAGUAACACGUGGAUAACCUACCUAUAAGACUGGGAUAACUUCGGGAAACCGGAGCUAAUACCGGAUAAUAUUUUGAACCGCAUGGUUCAAAAGUGAAAGACGGUCUUGCUGUCACUUAUAGAUGGAUCCGCGCUGCAUUAGCUAGUUGGUAAGGUAACGGCUUACCAAGGCAACGAUGCAUAGCCGACCUGAGAGGGUGAUCGGCCACACUGGAACUGAGACACGGUCCAGACUCCUACGGGAGGCAGCAGAAGGGAAUCUUCCGCAAUGGGCGAAAGCCUGACGGAGCAACGCCGCGUGAGUGAUGAAGGUCUUCGGAUCGUAAAACUCUGUUAUUAGGGAAGAACAUAUGUGUAAGUAACUGUGCACAUCUUGACGGUACCUAAUCAGAAAGCCACGGCUAACUACGUG